rnacentral:rRNA from 1 species
AUUGAACGCUGGCGGCAGGCCUAACACAUGCAAGUCGAGCGAGCGGCGGACGGGUGAGUAAUGGAUGGGGACUGCCCGAUAGAGGGGGAUAACUACUGGAAACGGUAGCUAAUACCGCAUACUAUCGGAUAAUCCAUAUGGGAUUAGCUAGUAGGUGAGGUAAGGGCGUACCUAGGCGACGAUCCCUAGCUGUUCUGAGAGGAUGAUCAGCCACACUGGGAAGGGGAAAUGGCCCAGCCUCGUACGGAGGCAGAAGUGGGGAAUAUUGGACAAUGGGCGAAAGCCUGAUGCAGCCAUGCCGCGUGUAUGAAGAAGGCCCUAGGGUUGUAAAGUACUUUCAGUCGGGAGGCGUUACCGACAGAAGAAGCACGGGCUAAGUCCGUGCCAGCAGCCGCGGUAAUUC